rnacentral:rRNA from 1 species
UACGUAGGGUGCGAGCGUUAAUCGGAAUUACUGGGCGUAAAGCGUGCGCAGGCGGUUCGUCGUGUCCGAUGUGAAAGCCCCGGGCUCAACCUGGGAAUGGCAUUGGAAACUGGCGGACUCGAGUGUGGCAGAGGGGGGUGGAAUUCCGCGUGUAGCAGUGAAAUGCGUAGAGAUGCGGAGGAACACCGGUGGCGAAGGCGGCAUCCUGGACCAACACUGACGCUGAGGAGCGAAAGCCAGGGGAGCAAACGGG